rnacentral:rRNA from 1 species
GAUUGAACGCUGGCGGCAUGCUUUACACAUGUAAGUCGAGCGGCAGCGCGGGGGCACCCCUGGCGGCGAGCGGCGAACGGGUGAGUAAUGCAUCGGAACGUAUCCUCGAGUGGGGGAUAACCCAGCGAAAGUUGGGCUAAUACCGCAUGAGCUCUGAGGAGGAAAGCGGGGGACCUGCGAGGGCCUCGCGCUGGAGGAGCGGCCGAUGUCCGAUUAGCUAGUUGGUGGGGUAAAGGCUUACCAAGGCGACGAUCGGUAGCUGGUCUGAGAGGAUGAUCAGCCACACUGGGACUGAGACACGGCCCAGACUCCUACGGGAGGCAGCAGUGGGGAAUUUUGGACAAUGGGGGCAACCCUGAUCCAGCCAUGCCGCGUGAGUGAAGAAGGCCUUCGGGUUGUAAAGCUCUUUCGGACGGAACGAAAUGGGCGGGACUAAUACUCCUGUCUGAUGACGGUACCGGAAGAAGAAGCACCGGCUAACUACGUG